rnacentral:rRNA from 1 species
UUUUCCCUACGGGGGGCAGCAGUGGGGGAUAUUGGACAAUGGGGGGAACCCUGAUCCAGCGACGCCGCGUGAGUGAAGAAGUAUUUCGGUAUGUAAAGCUCUGUCAGCAGGGAAGAAAGAAAUGACGGUACCUGACCAAGAAGCCCCGGCUAACUAUGCGCCAGCAGCCGCGGUAAUACGUAGGGGGCAAGCGUUAUCCGGAUUUACUGGGUGUAAAGGGUGCGUAGACGGCUGUGUAAGUCUGAAGUGAAA